rnacentral:lncRNA from 1 species
AUCGUGCAAGGAAUAUCGAUCAAAGCUCAAGUGUUCAAGGGAACUACUAGUGAAACCUGGGGAAAUGCUACCGGAGCAUGAUGUUCGACCAAAGAGAAGGAAAAGCGCCGCACAGCUCAUUAGCUGCACCAAGACUGCGCAGGGAGGGAGAUGGCAGUUCACUAACUGCGCUGAUGCAGUAUGCUGAUGCAACGCAGGAACUCUACAUUAUCUCAGCGCAGAAUAUAAUAGUCGUGUCCAACACAGAAUCCCUCAGCAGUCUCCAGUGCAGAAUG